rnacentral:rRNA from 1 species
CCUACGGGCGGCAGCAGUGAGGAAUAUUGGUCAAUGGACGAGAGCCUGAACCAGCCAAGUCGCGUGAAGGAUGAAGGCUCUAUGGGUUGUAAACUUCUUUUAUAUGGGAAUAAAGUGAGGAACGUGUGCCUUUUUGCAUGUACCUUAUGAAUAAGGAUCGGCUAACUCCGUGCCAGCAGCCGCGGUAAUACGGAGGAUGCGAGCGUUAUCCGGAUUUAUUGGGUUUAAAGGGAGCGUAGAUGGUUUGUUAAGUCAGUUGUGAAAGUUUGCGGCUCAACCGUAAAAUUGCAAUUGAUACUGGUAGACUUGAGUACAGUUGAGGUAGGCGGAAUUCGUGGUGUAGCGGUGAAAUGCUUAGAUAUCACGCAGAACCCCGAUUGCGAAGGCAGCUUACUAAACUGUAACUGACACUGAGGCACGAAAGCGUGGGGAUCAAACAGGAUUAGAUACCCCAGUAGUC